rnacentral:rRNA from 1 species
AAGACCUUGUGCUUUUGGAGCGGCCGAUGCCUGAUUAGCUUGUUGGUAAGGUAAAAGCUUACCAAGGCUUCGAUCAGUAGCUGGUCUGAGAGGACGACCAGCCACACUGGGACUGAGACACGGCCCAGACUCCUACGGGAGGCAGCAGUGGGGAAUUUUGGACAAUGGGGGCAACCCUGAUCCAGCCAUGCCGCGUGAGUGAAGAAGGCCUUCGGGUUGUAAAGCUCUUUCAGCCGGAACGAAACGGUUACGGAUAAUACCCGUGACUACUGACGGUACCGGAAGAAGAAGCACCGGCUAACUACGUGCCAGCAGCCGCGGUAAUACGUAGGGUGCGAGCGUUAAUCGGAAUUACUGGGCGUAAAGCGUGCGCAGGUGGUUUUGUAAGUCAGAUGUGAAAGCCCCGGGCUCAACCUGGGAACU